GUGCUCCCUUUGGCAACACAUAUAUUAAACUUUGGAAAAUAAGAGAAGAUUAUCAUGGCUACUCCAUAAGGAUAACACACAAAUUUGUGAAGUGUUCCAUAUUUUU
rnacentral:snRNA from 1 species